GCAGAUGUAGUUCAAUGGUAGAACACAACCUUGCCAAGGUUGAUACGGGGGUCCGAUUCCCCUCAUCUGCUCCA
rnacentral:tRNA from 2 species